AACGAACGCUGGCGGCAGGCCUAACACAUGCAAGUCGAGCGAGACCUUCGGGUCUAGCGGCGGACGGGUGAGUAACGCGUGGGAACGUGCCCUUUGCUACGGAAUAGCCCCGGGAAACUGGGAGUAAUACCGUAUGUGCCUUUCGGGGGAAAGAUUUAUCGGCAAAGGAACGGACCGCGUUGGAUUAGGUAGUUGGUGGGGUAAUGGCCUACCAAGCCGACGACCCAUAGCUGGUUUGAGAGGAUGAUCAGCCACACUGGGACUGAGACACGGCCCAGACUCCUACGGGUGGCAGCAGGGGGGAAUCUUAGACAAUGGGGGAAACCCUGAUCUAGCCAUGCCGGGUGAGCGAUGAAGGCCUUAGGGUUGUAAAGCUCUUUCAGGUGGGAAGAUAAUGACGGUACCACCAGAAGAAGCCCCGGCUAACUCCGUGCCAGCCGCCGCGGUAAGAC
rnacentral:rRNA from 1 species